AGCAGUGUGGCCUAAUGGAAGGCGAAUGGGCUUGGGAGUGAGAGGACCUGGGUUCUAAUCCCGGCUCUGCUG
rnacentral:tRNA from 1 species